UGUCAUUCUGAAGAUAGACUGUUCAAGAGAAAGGAAGGCAGCAUCCAUGACCUUUUCUGAGGUUUUUGAGGUUUGAUGGAAGAAUAAGCCAUGAAUAAGAAGUUUGUGUAGUAGAAAGUAGCAUAAGAAGAUACUGAGACAUCCUUAAACAGAUCAGCUGAUCCAAAUGCUUACCACAGAAUGAAUGACUCUCCUAAAGGCAACCAGGGCCAGGCACAAAGCCCAAAAUUUUUGGGAGAAGACCAGUCGAUUAGAUUGACCUCAGUAUGCAACUAGUACUUAAUUUAUCGACUCCGAAAGGAUGAAAGCAAAGUUGAGCUUGGCGGAAUUUGAAUUCAGAACGUAAAGACAGGCGAAAUACCACUAAGCAUUUCGCCUGGCAUGCUAACAUUUCUGCCAGCUCGCUGCCUUAUAAUAAUAAUAAUAAUAAUAAUAAUAAUAAUAAUAAUAAUAAUAAUAAUAAUAACAAUAAUAAUAAUAAUAAUAAAAAUAAUAUGAUGAUGAUGAUGAUGAUUAGGCUUCAAUGCUGUUUCUUAGGAUGACUCUGAUCUGAACAAGCAGAUCUAUGACUAUCCUGACUGUUUUUGUUUUGCUUUCUGUCCUAUAUUAUUCAUUAUGAAGGCAGUUUAGUUUAGGAUUGGUCUAUUUUGACACAUGAUGUUGUUUCUACAUCUUUCUCACUGAUGAUUUCUCUCAUCACUAAUGAUGACAUUCCUAAAGCCAUAACAAUGAUUAACAAACAAUUUGAAUGAUGACUUGUUUUCAAGUGAUGAAAAUGUGCCAACUUGAACCAUACAUACUUUUGGACUUCAUACAGUUGUUUCAAGGACAAGGAAACAGACAAAGGAUGAUAGGUAUCAAUAUGUUGGCUCCAGUGAGCUGCCAGACACCUCUUAUAUAUUGAGGUUCAUCCUCUCAAGUCAUUAUUCCAUGUUGGAAUAAUGCUCAAACCAAACCACUUGGUCCACUAUUGGCUAGGUAGAGACAAGUUUGCCACAUUUUGCAUGGAAACUUGGAAUAUGAAGCACUGGAAUAAAUACUGCGUUUUGUCAAAUGAUCUAAGAAUUUUGCUAGUCCUCCAGUCUGCACUUUUAUUUGAUUUUAUGGACUCUGAAAGGAUGAAAAGUGAUGUUUGACUUGGUGAGAUUUGAACUCAGAAUGCAAAGUACCAGAACAAAUAUUGUAAGGGAUUUUUUCCAAAGCUUUGAUAAUUCUAUUAAUGUAAUUAGUAUGUAAUUAGAGAGAUUUGCUUGUUAUUUCUAACAGAUCAAAUGAUCAAAUAGAAGAUCUUUUGUUGGCUGAUUAAUUAUAACCAUGAUUGUGAUUAUGUGAACACUUUAUAGAAUUCAUAGAUAAGAAACUGAUUUCUCAACAGAGAAAAGUGUUCCAAGUACAGAUAUCUAAAAGUGCUUGAGAUACUUUUUAAUCUUAUUACGUACAUUGACUUGUCUACAAAGAAAAAUCAAGUCAUGCUUGAACUGCUGGAAAUAUGAAUAUGAAGCACUUGAAUCUAAAGCUAACCUACAUAUUUUUAUGUCUACUUACUCUUACAGAACAAUCAGUACUACAGACACAUAUUUUUGGACAGUGAGUGUCAUUUAAUAGUGUUUAACAGAGAAAUUUUGCAGAUGGGAAUAAUAGAUAAAAAAAAGUAGAUAUUAAAACUAAAAUGAAAAAUAUUCUGAACAGAGUAUGUUUCUGUUUGAAAAUAUCUUUAAAGUUAUUCAUUUUAUGUUUUUGGGUGCCAACUUUGAUCAGUUAAGUAUUUUUCAUAUUUCAUGUUAUC